CGCAAGGGUCUUUCACUGGUCUAGACCUUGGAAACAAAGGCUGUUCCCCAGCAGAGAGCUGAUGAGCCUCAACAUGUCAGAUUGAAGACUACCACUUGCCCUCGUACAGCAUCACAUGCUAAGUAAGGAAGGGAAAGUUCUAGCUGCAAAAUUAUAUGGUUAUACAAAUACAAAAUACUUACAAAAUAAGAAUAACGUGCCAAAAUAAACCACCGCUCUCUGUAGCGGAAAAAUAGAGCAGCUGCUCUUGGGCAAGAAGGGUGUAACUGUAGAUGCCAGAAGUCACUCUCCUUGCUGGAGAGUAGUGGUGGAGUAAGAGGGCUCGCAGCUCCUGGUUUCUGUUGUGCAAGUUGUAUGGGCUUUAAGUAUAGGGCUCUCCCACCAGAUCUCAUGCCUUCCCGAGGGGAGAGGUGGUGAGACGUGGCCAUGCUUGCUCCGUGGGCUCUGGGCUGGCCAGUUUUGUGAUGCUGGCGUGCCUGAUGGCCCCUGGAUGGGGGAAGGAGAGGGGCUGGUGGUGACGGUGUCCAAACUCUGCCUCCAGUGGCAUCUCAUGGGGUCAUGGACACAGGCAUCUGGGGAGAUGCGGUGCAGGAGCAGAGAGCUUGGAUGGGCUUUGGUGGCUGGUGGGGUCCAGGGCUCUCCACUUGCUGCAGCAGGGCUUGGCCUCAGGCUGCCUCCAGCCAGUCCCUACUGGUGUCCCCAGUGACUGUCCAGCUUUGCUCAGUUUGUUGGGCGUUUGUUCUUUUUCACAAAGGAAAUGAAGGAUUUCUUUGUAUUGUAGCAGGUUGAAGACUUAAAAAAUGAGGGUUGACAUCUUGAAGACCAAGAUCAUCUCUGGAAGCCUAGGCCAAAAGACACUAUAGUUGCAAGAUCACUGACUUGUGUAACAAUACAUUUUCUUGUGUUUGCAUAACAAUGCUGCAAUUAGUUUUCUUUCUUCAUCAUCAACCGAAUUUUUUUAGUAUUAAGCAAACCAAACUCUCAAGGAUGCUGUACUGUUCUUUCCCAAAUGAGAGGUUGAGCGUGCCAGCAGAAUUUCAGUUAAUUGGCAGCAUUUUGCUCCUAAGCUACUGCACGUCAUCUUAAUGGCCAGACCUUGUGCUGCGUGCGGAGCCAACAACAGGUGGUAAUCUCAUCCUCCAGUAACGGGGCUCCCGGUGGUGCCACCAGCACGCCCACCGCAGACACCCCAACUCCUUUCAAAGAGACUGGGUGGGAAGAGUAAGCCCAUGUAUUUUUGCGUCAACAUUCAGCCAGAGCAAAGACCGGUGAGUUGUGCUCUGUUGUGAUGUCUGUGGGUCCUACUGCCUCUGUUUGAAGAGGUAUCCGAGUGGCAGAGCCUCCUGGAUCUCAGUGCCACGCUUUAUCUUCAAGACUUGUGCCUUGGUUGUGUCUCUCGAUCUGACCAUGCAAAGUGCUGAAUGGUCUCAGGUGUGAAGUUGAAAAGUACAAGAGGAAGUACCGAUGCCAAAGUGCAUGGCCAGUUUGGAC
rnacentral:lncRNA from 1 species